rnacentral:rRNA from 1 species
AUAUAAUUAAGUGGUGGAAAAGAAACUAACAAGAAUUCCCUUAGUAAUGGCGAAUGAACAGGGAAGAGCUCAAAAUGAAAAUCAACGGCUCUUGCUGUUGAAUUGUAGUCUCAAGAAGUGUUACCAGUAAAGGCGCAGGGAUAAGCCUCUUGGAAAAGAGCAUCCGUGAAGGUGAAAAUCCUGUUCAUGCUCUGCAGACCUUUACGUACGGUACAUUUUCAAUGAGUCGCGUUCCUUGGAAGUGGAGCGCUAAAUGGAAGGUAAAUUUCUUCUAAAGCUAAAUAUUUGUGGGAGACCGAUAGCGCACAAGUA